rnacentral:rRNA from 1 species
GAUGAACGCUGGCGGCGUGCCUAAUACAUGCAAGUCGAGCGAACAGACGAGGAUCUUGCUCCUCUGACGUUAGCGGCGGACGGGUGAGUAACACGUGUAUAACCUACCUAUAAUACUGGUAUAUUUUCGGGAAACCGGAGCUAAUACCGGAUAAUAUAUUGAAGCGUAUUGUUCAAUGGUGAAAGACGGCUUUUCUGUCACUUAUAGAUGGAUCCCGGCCGUAUGAGAUGGUUGGUAAGGUAAUGGCUUAUCAAGGCAACGAUGCGUAGACGACCGCCGAGACUGGUCGGCGGCCUUGGAGCGGGAACGCGGUCAAGACUCCUACGGGAGGCAGCAGUAGGGAACCGUACGCAGUAGGCGAAAGCAUGACGGAACAACGCCACGUGAGUGAUGAAAGUCUUCGGAUCGGGAAACUCGGUUAUUAGGGGAAAACAGAUGUGUAAGUAAAUAUGGACGUCUUGACGGUACCUAAUCAAAAAGCCCCGGCUAACUACGUG